AUGGCGACCACCACCACCCUUUUCCAUCCGCUCUCCGUGCCCAUCGCCGGGGGACGCGUCCGGCGCUGCCCCCUCACCCUGCUCGCCCCGGCCCGCACGGCCCCCCGGCGGCCGACGCCCCUCCUCGUCGCCCGCGCCAAGCGCACCAAUAACUCCACCGCUGCCCCGAAGCGAGAGGCGGACGAGGAGGUCGAGGUCGAGGAGGAGCUGCCGUGGAUCCAGGACAAGGCGCUGGACCUCGUCGAGUUCACCGGCACCGUCACGCAGGCCAUCCCUGGCCCCCGCGUCGGCUCCAGCCCCGUGCCGUGGCUCCUCGCCGUGCCGCUCGCCUACGUCGGCGUCUCCUUCGCCCUCGCCGCCGUCCGCACCUUCCGCAGGUUCACCUCCCCGCGCACUCAGAAGAAGAAGAGGGUGACCAAGAAUAUAUUUUUGUUGAAGUCACUAGACGAGUUGUUUCAGAAGGGCAGGGAAGCAGUGGAUUUUCCAGCUCUUCAAGAACUAAUGCAAAAGACAGGAUUUGACAUGGAUGAUGUAGUAAGAAAGUACAUCCGAUACACACUGAAUGAAAAACAAUUCAAUCCUGAUGUGGUUGUGGAUCUCAUACAUCUUAGGAAAGCAUCGAUGUUAGAAGAUAAUGAAGUUGCCGAAAUUCUGAAUGAGAUAUCUAGACGAAUUGUUCGGGAAAAAGGUCCAAUAGUUAUGGACUUAUCUGGGUUUACAGAGCAAGGUUUUAAGCGGAAGCUUGCUGUGCAAACAUUGUUCGGAAAAAUCAUGUACUUAUCAGAGCUCCCAGAGUUCUGUUCCCGGGACGGCUCGCUUGUUGUCAAAGAAAUCUUUGGAGUUACAGACGAGGAUGCAGACAGCCUUCGCAGUCGUACCCUUUCUGAAGCUGGUGAUAUCGAGUCGUUAGAAAGGAUGGUCGAUGAUUCUGAUGAACAUGGUACCCCAUCAUCAUCUUGA
rnacentral:rRNA from 1 species